CAAGUUCUCCAGAGGCCACAGAGACGUCCCAACAGCUCCAGCUCCGGGUGCAGGGAAAGGAGAAACACCAGACACUGGAAGUCUCACUGUCUCGAGAUUCCCCUCUAAAGACCCUCAUGUCCCACUAUGAGGAGGCCAUGGGACUGUCGGGACGGAAGCUCUCCUUCUUCUUUGAUGGGACAAAGCUUUCAGGCAGGGAGCUGCCAGCUGACCUGGGCAUGGAAUCUGGGGACCUCAUUGAGGUCUGGGGCUGACACCCCACUCCCUGUUUGACGGCCCAGCCUGGACUUGGGGAGAAUGACUUUCCCUUUUUUGCCCCAUAAGGGCUAGCAUAAGCUGAGGUAGAACUUAUCUUUAAGCUGCAGCAAAAUCAAGGAGUGACUUUUGUCCCCUCUCCUGUUGACCCUGGUUUAGAGCCGUUAACCACUUGGUGAGUUAUGUGGGUGUUGUUGCCCUGGGUGGCCUGUGGCUCCGUCCACAAGUCAUGCUGAGUUUUGCAGCCUCUGUGACUUGGAGAUGUCCCUUCACCCCUCCCCUUUCACCACCAUCCUCUUUUCCUCAUGGAAAUGUCUGCUUUAUGAAACUAUGCACAUAUUGAAAGUGAGUUGAAACAAAUGAGGGUUGGGUAGGAGCUUCCAGGCCUGGGAUUUACACCACGCCUAGCCCAGCAGAGGCCUUAGUCCCAUUUGGGGCUUGGGAGUGACAUUUGCUUGAGGCUUAUACACUGGUGUGGUUGCCUGGCUUGCAGGAAAUGACCAAGCUCACACAUGCUGGCUGAAGCGUAAGCAGACAACUGAGGUACUCUUUUGAAGGAUGAAGGUGGUGGAUUCUCAGCCCUGGGGGUCUUCCUCACCUGAGGACCCUUCAGAGCCACCCUUUCUAGUUUGCAUUUC
rnacentral:lncRNA from 1 species